AGCGCAGGCGGUUUGAUAAGCCUGAAGUAAAAGGCUGUGGCUUAACCAUAGUAUGCUUUGGAAACUGUCAAACUUGAGUGCAGAAGGGGAGAGUGGAAUUCCAUGUGUAGCGGUGAAAUGCGUAGAUAUAUGGAGGAACACCGGUGGCGAAAGCGGCUCUCUGGUCUGUAACUGACGCUGAGGCUCGAAAGCGUAGGGAGCAAACA
rnacentral:rRNA from 1 species